rnacentral:rRNA from 1 species
UACGUAGGGUGCGAGCGUUGUCCGGAAUUACUGGGCGUAAAGAGCUCGUAGGUGGUUUGUCGCGUUGUUCGUGAAAUCUCACGGCUUAACUGUGAGCGUGCGGGCGAUACGGGCAGACUUGAGUACUGCAGGGGAGACUGGAAUUCCUGGUGUAGCGGUGGAAUGCGCAGAUAUCAGGAGGAACACCGGUGGCGAAGGCGGCGUUCUGGACUGCAACUGACACUGAUGAACGAAAGCCAGGGGAGCAAACGGG